GACGAACGCUGGCGGCGUGCCUAAUACAUGCAAGUCGAACGCCGAAGCAGUAGCUUGUUUCUCUGGCUGAGUUGCGAACGGGUGAGUAACGCGUAGGUAACCUGCCUUGUAUUGUGGGAUAACUUUUGGAAACGAUAGCUACUACCGCAUAACAUUAGAUCUCGCAUUAUAUCUACUUGAAAGUUGCAAUUGCAUCACUACCAUAUGCACCUGCGUUGUAUUAUCUUGGUGGUGAGGUAACGGCUCACCAAGGCGACGAUACAUAGCCUACCUGAGAGGGAUGUUCGGCAAAAUGGGAAUGGGAAACGGCCCAGGCUUCUAAGGGAGGGAGCAGGAGGGAAAUAUCGGCAAAGGGCGGAAAGCUGGACGAGGAAAGACGGGGGAGGGAAGAAGGGUUUCGGAUCGGAAAGGUCUGUUGUAAGGGAAGAAAGAGUGUGAGAGUGGAAAGUUCACGCUGUGACGGUAUCUAAACAGAAAGGAACGGCUAACUACGUG
rnacentral:rRNA from 1 species